AUUGAACGCUGGCGACAUGCCUUACACAUGCAAGUCGAACGGUAGCACGGGUGCUUGCACCUGGUGGCGAGUGGCGAACGGGUGAGUAAUACAUCGGAACAUGUCCUGUAGUGGGGGAUAGCCCGGCGAAAGCCGGAUUAAUACCGCAUACGAUCUACGGAUGAAAGCGGGGGACCUUCGGGCCUCGCGCUAUAGGGUUGGCCGAUGGCUGAUUAGCUAGUUGGUGGGGUAAAGGCCUACCAAGGCGACGAUCAGUAGCUGGUCUGAGAGGACGACCAGUCACACUGGGACUGAGACACGGCCCAGACUCCUACGGGAGGCAGCAGUGGGGAAUUUUGGACAAUGGGCGAAAGCCUGAUCCAGCAAUGCCGCGUGUGUGAAGAAGGCCUUCGGGUUGUAAAGCACUUUUGUCCGGAAAGAAAUCCUUGGCCCUAAUACGGUCGGGGGAUGACGGUACCGGAAGAAUAAGCACCGGCUAACUACGUG
rnacentral:rRNA from 1 species